UACGUAGGGGGCAAGCGUUGUCCGGAUUUAUUGGGCGUAAAGAGCGUGUAGGCGGCCAGGUAGGUCAGCUGUGAAAACUCGAGGCUCAACCUCGAGACGCCGGUUGAAACCAUCUGGCUAGAGUCCGGAAGAGGAGAGUGGAAUUCCAGGUGUAGCGGUGAAAUGCGUAGAUAUCUGGAGGAACACCGGUGGCGAAGGCGACAUCCUGGACCGGUAUUGACGCUGAGGCGCGAAAGCCAGGGGAGCAAACGGG
rnacentral:rRNA from 1 species